rnacentral:tRNA from 1 species
UAGUGCAAUCGGUUAGCACAACAGACCGGACAUCUGUAAAUGCGUGUUCGAAUCCCGU